rnacentral:rRNA from 1 species
GAACCGGGAAGAGCUCAAAUUUGAAAUCUGGCGUCCUCAGGGCGUCCGAGUUGUAAUCUAUAGAAGCGUUUUCCGCGCCGGACCGUGUAUAAGUCUCCUGGAACGGAGUAUCAAAGAGGGUGACAAUCCCGUGCUUUACACGACGACCGGUGCUCUGUGAUACGUUCUCUACGAGUCGAGUUGUUUGGGAAUGCAGCUCAAAACGGGUGGUAAACUCCAUCUAAAGCUAAAUAUUGGUGGGAGACCGAUAGCGAACAAGUACCGUGAGGGAAAGAUGAAAAGCACUUUGGAAAGAGAGUUAAACAGUAUGUGAAAUUGUUGAAAGGGAAACGAUUGAAGUCAGUCGUGUCCAUUGGGUUCAGCCGGUCCUGCCGGUCUACUCCCUUUGGACGGGUCAACAUCAGUUCUGACCGGUGGAUAAUGGCACGAGGAACGUGGCACCCCCAGGGGUGUGUUAUAGCCUCGCGUCGCAUACACUGGUUGGGACUGAGGAACGCAGCUCGCCUUCAUGGCCGGGGUACGCCCACGU